rnacentral:rRNA from 1 species
UACGGGGGGGGGCAAGCGUUGUUCGGAAUUACUGGGCGUAAAGGGCUCGUAGGCGGCCAACUAAGUCGGACGUGAAAUCCCCAGGCUCAACCUGGGAACUGCGUCCGAUACUGGAUGGCUUGAAUCCGGGAGAGGGAUGCAGAAUUCCAGGUGUAGCGGUGAAAUGCGUAGAUAUCUGGAGGAACACCGGUGGCGAAGGCGGCAUCCUGGACCGACACUGACACUGAGGAGCGAAAGCGUGGGGAGCAAACAGG